ACCUGGCUGAUUAGAUUAAUUUAAUUCUUGGCUGGGAUGCUCGGUAUUAUAUUCACUAUAUUAUGGCUUUCCUUCAUGCUAGGACAUUAUUAUGUCACGAGCCAUAUUAGGUUUGUUGUAUAACAACAAGACCAAUUAUGAAAACUGACAUAAUAUUGUUCUGGCGCAUAGAGAUGCUUAUAGCAAUUUUUGAGUAUAAUGCUUUGUUGUGUAACCACAAAAGCAUUUAUAUUCUAUUUUGACUGUAUUAAAAUGAAGGGUCCUACUUAACUAAAACAUUAUGGUUUGUUG
rnacentral:lncRNA from 1 species